GAUGAACGCUGGCGGCGUGCCUAAUACAUGCAAGUCGAGCGAACAGACGAGGAGCUUGCUCCUUUGAUGUUAGCGGCGGACGGGUGAGUAACACGUAGGUAACCUACCUAUAAGACUGGGAUAACUUCGGGAAACCGGAGCUAAUACCGGAUAAUAUUUCGAACCGCAUGGUUCGAUAGUGAAAGAUGGCUUUGCUAUCACUUAUAGAUAGACCUGCGCCGUAUUAGCUAGUUGGUAAGGUAACGGCUUACCAAGGCAACGAUACGUAGCCGACCUGAGAGGGUGAUCGGCCACACUGGAACUGAGACACGGUCCAGACUCCUACGGGAGGCAGCAGUAGGGAAUCUUCCGCAAUGGGCGAAAGCCUGACGGAGCAACGCCGCGUGAGUGAUGAAGGUCUUCGGAUCGUAAAACUCUGUUAUUAGGGAAGAACAAACGUGUAAGUAACUGUGCACGUCUUGACGGUACCUAAUCAGAAAGCCACGGCUAACUACGUG
rnacentral:rRNA from 1 species